GAGGGUAUAGCUCAGUGGUAGAGCGCUUGCCUAGCAUACCUGAGGUCCUGGGUUCGAUCCCCGGCACUUCCU
rnacentral:tRNA from 1 species